rnacentral:snoRNA from 1 species
GGGUCGAUGAUGAGAACCUUACAUGGUCUGAACAGAGAUGAUGACUUAAAAAUCAUGCUCAAUAGGAUUAUGCUGAGGCCC